AUGGAAAUAUUCUAUAUCAUAACUAUGGUGAUGGUAUACAGUUAUAUACACUUGUUAAAACUGAGUUUUUUUUUUAUCAAACAUGAUGAGUUUUAUUUUAUGACAUUAUUUCAAAACAGCUGACAGAAGAUAUUGACAAUUUCUGCCUGCAAGACACUGUGAUGGGAAUAGCAAGAGGAAUCAGUCCUGGCUUCUGUCCACAGUGAUCACAAUAAAAACAUACCAAAACAAUGGCAAUCAAGCAUUGAAAGUGCUACAACAGAGAUCUGGGCUCAGGAUAGAGAGGUUAAUUCUAACCAGUGGUGGGAGAGCCAAGUAGAUGGUCCUUGAGCCAAAUCUUGAAAGAUAGGUAAUGAUUUGCCAGGUAAUUAAGGUGAGAGAAGCAAUUCUAGGCAACAAAAGAAAACCUUCCAUGCUGGAAAUAAUCCAUUAGAUUCCAGGAAACACAAGUGGUAGGUUGAAACCCAGUAUACCUGGAAGAAUAUAUCUGAAGAUAAAAGUGUGCAUGGUGGUACACGUAGGCACAUGUGUUGUGGAGGGUUGCAUAAUGCAUGCCCAGGUGUACAGCCCGCAGUGCAGGCAGCUAAACUAGAGGUUGCUUGAGUGAAUUUCCUAAGGUAUCAAAUAAAACACAGACACACAAUUUACCUUUAAAUUCAAGCCCUGGGACAGCUCCUCUGCCCUCGGCCUCAAGCUCCUCAAAUGGGAGAGCAGGGAAUAUCACAGAGGCUGGCGAGAGAGCGCUAGGUUGUUUUGGAGUGGUCUUUUAUUGUGGGGACUCUGGUUCUUAAAAAUUUCCAUCCAUAAAAGGUCAAGAGGGGCAGGGUUAUAAGGACAGGUAAGGUAAUAACUCGAUCCCUGGGGAUGUAGGAAGGCACGCCCAUGCAUGAAGACACAUUUGGCUGCAUUUUUACUACUCUCAAGAUGGGGGCUACCAUCUACAGCCACUUAAAAGUAGCCACAUCAUUGGGGAUGACUGAUAGUGCCUCAAACCCAUCAGGAGAGGAAAACGCUGGUUACAUGACUUGGUGGCUCCCACACAGGUGCUCACAAUUUAUCCCACAAAGAAAAUCUACUGAAUAGUUUUAAGCUAUAACAAACAUACCCAGCUUUGUGCCUCGUACAUAUUACUCUGAAAGCAGAGAGAAAGACAGAUUGGAGGGUGGUGGCAGCUAGUUUGAAAGCCAAGAGACCAACUAAAAGAAGACUGCACUCAUUCAGGUAAGCCAUGAUUUUGUUCUUGAGUAGAGGGAUGUAGAAGGAUGUAGAGGGGAGGUUUAUGAGAGCUAUUAAGGUAGCAGAACUGGGCAGCAUCCUUGAGGAUGCUGCAAGGGAGAAUGAUGAAGAGUCAAAGAUGACUGCAUGGAUUCUGGUUUGGGUGACUGGAUGGCUGAUGGUCUUCUUUUUUUAAGAAUUAAUUAUAAUAGUGUUGUUAAUGUUAAUAUUCUUUUUUAAUUCUUAUUUUUAGGUGUAGAUGAACACAACACAAUGCCUUUAUUUUUAUGUGGUGCUGAGGAUCGAACCUGGGUCCCGCCCGUGCUAGGCGAGUGCUCUAUCACUGAGCCACAAUCCCUGCCUUGGUGGUCUUCUUAAUCAAGCUUGGGAAUGCAAAGGAAGAAUGAGUUUGGGAGAGAAUGAUAGCUUCAGUCAGAGAAAUGUUGAGUUUUAUGUGAUGGAAUAUUCUAGUAAAAUGUUUAAAAGGAAAUUGAAUACUCACCAGUAAGAUUCAGAAGAGAGUAGAUGUAUGGUUCACAGUAAUCCACUUCCUGGUAGCAUCAAAGCCAAGUGAUGAAUGAGAUUUCCCAGGGCAUUUACACAAGGUGGCAGGGAAGGCACAUAUUUAUGAAAGGGAUAGGCAGCAGUACGAGGUCUUGAAAGAAGCUGAGAAAAGGUGUUAAACAAUGUGGAAUUGAAGCAGGAGAGUGUAGUGUAGUGUAGUUAUCAGAGAAGACAAGGAACAAGAAAGAUUUUAGAGAAAGAUAUAAUCAACACUGUCAAAUGCCACAUCAAAGUAAAACAUGAUGAAAUAAGAAAGAAUCCACUGAAAUUGCAAAAUGUGAGAUGGCUGUUGUUAUGUGCCAAAGUAGUUGCUAUGGUAGCAGAGAUUGAUUACAGAGGGCCAAGGAAUGAGUGAGAUGGAGGGAAAUGGAGAAAAUGGGCAGGUAGUUUGGCAGUAAAGUGGAAGAGAAAGAGAGGUAGUGAAUAGGGAGGAAGAAUAUAAAAUCAAAGUAUUUGUUUUUGAAAACUGAUGAGACUACAUGUUUUAUAGGCUAUUGAGAAAAGCCAAUAAAAUAAAAAUUGUUGAAACUGUACACAAGUGGCCCAAUGUAUGAAAGCCCUAGUCAUGGAGAUGACAGAAAAGGUAGAAUUAAGAAGAGGACGCCUUUUCCUUUGGGAAUGGAGGAAGGAAAUAGGGGAAAGUACAUAUCUAGGUGAUUCUGAAGGUAUGAGAACAGAAAACUGAGAGAGUUCAUGACUGAAGACUAAAUGUCUUAAUGGGUUUGAGAAAAGAAGGGAGAGUAGGAAGAGCCAUUGCAAGGUAUUGGAAAGGGAGCUAAUUAAUCUGUGAUUGACAAAGGUAUUGAGGGUUGGACUUCACAUAUUUGCAGUGUCAUCUGUCUAGAAUGCAUGUGUGAUUUCUCUGCAUUAGGAUUGAGUUGCAUAAGUGUGGCAGCCAGGAGAACAGGUCACUGGAUUCAUCUGAGAUUUGGAUGUAAUAGGAGAAUGUGGUAGAAAUGCAAGUUGGUGAGGACCCUUUCAAAUUUAUUAACAGAGCAGAGAAAGUGAGGAACCACAAGCACAAGCCAGAUGGAGAAAAAACAGAACCAAGGUGGUAGUAUUAAUGGGAUAAAAACAGAGCUCAGAGGUUGAGGGGGCCCCUCCAUGAGUUUGAUGCGAAAAUUCAUUGAAUAGCAGGAUGAUAGAAGGUUAUGGUCAAGAGUAGGGUACUCAAGGAUGAUAGGACUUCAAAGAGAAGACAGAUCUGGGUGACACCAAGAUCCAAACUCUGGUGAUGUGAAUGGGAGACCUAAAUGAAGAGGAGGGAAUGUCAAGGUGCCUGUACCAAAAUGUUACUUGCAUCUUUUCAUGAGUGUUAAAGCCCCCAGGAUGAUGUGGGUAGUAAGCAAGUCUUCAGGGAAUGGGGAAGAGAAAGGGUGGACAAGACAGAUGUCACCCAUAUGGUAUGUAUGGUGAGCAUGGCCUGGACUUCAAAGAAGUUUGUACAUAACAGGAGAAGAGUAACGGGCUGAAAGGAGCAGCAAGGAGAGAGGAUGCUGCUGGCAGCUGAGGUUUCUGUGAUAUUUGGAAGGGUAUCACAGAACCCUAAGGAAGUGGGUGCUCAUUGUUUCUGCUUAAUUAAGUGUGGGGGAUCUUAGAUCCACAUGAAUCUUGGUGAGAAGUUUUGCUAAUACCCUGGAGAAGGAAAAACAGGAGACUAUUCAGGGACAGAGCCUGGAAAAGAUUCCUUCCCAGGAGGUUUCAGCGUCAUUUCCUAGGACGUUUACCACCUGAUAGAAUUAGCAGUGGCUGAUGGUUACUUGAAGGAGAAAGAUUUUAUUUUCAGACUUUCUUCAAAGGUCAAAGAUUGUGCCCAAAGCUUUCUUGAUAGGUAUUUGUUUAACAGAAUUGAACUAAAGAGUUGAGCACAUCUGUUACAUGGGUAACAGAACUUCAGAGCAGGAGGGAGCUAUGGUGUAGGGGGCCACUACUUGCAUGCAGUUUCGUGAUCUCCAUUCUCCAGCCCCAGCUCACUGCCCUGGGGUCGGGGCAGGUGGCCUUCAACAAUCCCUGUCUAUUGUACUUCCCCAGUCUUGUCUGGCUCUUCCAUUCCUCCCUGCACAUGUGUUCAUCUCUUCUUGGAAGGAAUCAUCCCCACUGCUGUCUGGAUAACUCCUACUUAUUUUUCAAGUCUCAGGCAUAGCCAAACUUGUCUCCUUGUGAAGCUCUUUCUGGCUCUCCUGGGCAUACUGAGGGGACCCUUCUGCUGCAUUCCUAUGCUCUCUCGUACUUUCCUUAAAGUAAUGAUCUUACCAUAGUAGAAUUGCCUUCCUUUCUCUUCACUGGACUACAAACACUUUGAAGUUAAGGGCAGGACCAGGACUUUUCACAUUAUAUAGGUAGCUCCUAAAACAGUAGUGGGAACAACUACUAGUUGAAUGAAUGAAUGAGCAAAUAAGAGAAUGAGUAGUGGAGAGACACUUUGAACUCAAACAGCCUGGGACUCAUUUUUAUUAUAUGAUGUAGUGUUUUAUGAGUUAGUAGAAAUUUUCAAGUCAUUACCUGCAAAAACACCAUAACUUUAAAAAUGUUGAUAAGCUGGCCAUAAUUGGCAGGAUACAUGGUAUCCAUCAUGUUACUUCUAUGAUCCCCAGAGUCUGGUGAUGGGGAGAGAGUAACUAGAAGGAGAAAUUGCAGGCUCUUCCUUGACAUAAUGGGCUCAUUUCUCACCUUCCUUCCCUGGAUGCCCUAGUGUUCCUCCACCUCUGUUAAACUUUUCUUCUGACACAUUCUGUGAAUGGUCUCUCAGAUUCUAACCUUCCCAUUAUUUCCAUCUCUACUACUCAAAUUUGAAUUUGAAUUGUGUCCAAAUUUUCCAGUUGGCUUUCCAGACUCAUGUCUCCUGCUACACUAUAUAGCUAAUGACAGCCUUCCUCUCCUCAAGAACUUGCCAUGGAUCCCUAGUGCCUUUUGCUUCAAAUCUAAACAAUUUAUCUCUGAGUUCAAGGCUUUCUAGCAAUGAGUUUCCCAUUAGCUACUGAGUCUUCCCUCACUGCUCACUGUCUUUUGCUGGAUUGUUCUAUUUCCUGUCUGACUUCUGUCCUUGCUAAUCCUCCUAAUUAGAAUAUUUUUUUCCAUUCCUCUUGAGCAGUUGACAUCUGACCCUUCUAAGUUUAGCUUGAGACUAGUCCUCCCCAUUCAACCAUUGACUGUUCCCCCUGUCUGUCAUGAUAUUUGUUUUUCCUCUUUGCUUCCUCUCCAUACUUUUGAAUACAGUUUGGACUUAAUUUCUAGCACUUCAUUAUAGCUUUCCACAGCAUUUUUCCAGAACUAUUUUAUUUCUUCAGUUCAGCUUGAAGCUCCUGCAGUACCAGGAAUAAAUAGCCUGACUCUGGGGUGUGAUUCCCCAAACACCUGGGUACUGCUGGACUUUGUUCCAGGAGAGACUUUAUGUAUAUCUUACUAGUUUAAAGACUGACCACGGCCCCCAAAGAUACCAGGCCUUAACCCUAUAAUGUUACCAUAUAAAUGUUACCAUAGGUAAAAAAAGGAUCCUUGUAGAUAUGAUAAAGUUGAGGCUCUUGAGUUGGAGAGACUAGCCUGGAUUGUAUGGGCCCCAAAUGCCAUUAUAUGCAUCCUCAUAGGAGAGAGAGGGAGAUUUAAUACAAAGAGGAGAAGACCAUAGGACCACAGAGGCAGACGCUGGAGGGAUGGAGCCACAAGCCAAGGCAUGCCAGCUGCAUUCCACCUAACACAUGAUUCUUAGUUUUAGUCUCAGAGAGAACUCAGCCCUGCCACCUUCUUGAUUUCAGGCCAGAAAAACUGAUUUCACACUCCGGCCUGCAGAAUCCUCAGAAAAAAAGAUCUGUGUUGGUUAAAGUCACCAAGUGCUUUGCUCCAGAAGCUGAGGAAACUAAAACAAUUGUUGUAUCUGUAUUUAUUGAUUAAAUUAAAAAUUGUGGGUUGAUUUUGGACUCCCUUAAAGAGGUUUUGGAAGAGAUCCUCUUUCAUCUGGAUUUCUCCAAGGCAUUUGCAGUAGUGCCUCCAUUUACCUCAGGGCUGCUGUGAGGACCCAAGGAGCUUUCUCGACACAUAAUCAUGGGAACAGAAGACUACAUUUGCUGCUUGGCUUAAUCCUCAUAACAAUUUGGGGGGUAAGUACUAUUAGUUACCCUUCCUCACACACAAACAAGGAAAUCAAGGCUCAGAGAGAAAGAAGUGCUUGUCCAGGGUUAUACAGAACUCCUUUAUGGAAUGGGACUUUGAAAGCUUGUUUGUGGACUGGGGAUGUAGCUCAGUGGCAGAGCUCUUGCCUAGCACAUUUGAGGCACUGGGUUUGAUCCUUAGCACCACAUAAAAAUAAACAAAUAAAAUAAAGGUAUGCUGUCUAUCUACAACUACAAUUUUUUUUAAAAAAAAGAUCUCUCUUUUG
rnacentral:lncRNA from 1 species